AUCAAAGUCGCGUAUUUUCACUUCCUAAGGCUAGUGCUCUUUGCGCGUGUCCCGUUCUCUUCUCCAAUCCUCCACAGAUACCUUAAUAUAUCCAACUUUGUAAGUAGAUUUUUUUUUUUUUUAAAAAAAAAAAAGAAAAUUUACCUUAUACAUAUAGUAAUGGAGGUCAAGCUAUGGAACGACAAGCGCGAGAGAGAAAUGUACGAGAACUUUGCUGAGCUCUAUGCCAUAAUCAAAGCCACAGAGAAACUUGAAAAGGCCUAUAUUCGUGACAUCAUCCCCUCAUCUGAGUAUGAAACAGAAUGCCAGAAGCUUAUUGCCCAUUUCAAGACAUUAGCGUCUACUCUGAAAGACAUAGUUCCUAGCAUUGAGCGCUUUGCAGACACAUACAAGAUGGAUUGUCCUGCUGCCAUAAA
rnacentral:misc_RNA from 1 species